GGGCUUAGUUACGGCGAGUGAGCGGCAAAAGCUCAAAUUUGAAAUCUGGUACCUUCGGUGCCCGAGUUGUAAUUUGUAGAAGGUAACUUUGGGGCUGGUCCUUGUCUAUGUUCCUUGGAACAGGACGUCAUAGAGGGUGAGAAUCCCGUGUGGCGAGGAUCCCAGUUCUUUGUAAAGUGCUUUCGAAGAGUCGAGUUGUUUGGGAAUGCAGCUCUAAGUGGGUGGUAAAUUCCAUCUAAAGCUAAAUAUUGGCGAGAGACCGAUAGCGAACAAGUACAGUGAUGGAAAGAUGAAAAGAACUUUGAAAAGAGAGUGAAAAAGUACGUGAAAUUGUUGAAAGGGAAGGGCAUUUGAUCAGACAUGGUGUUUUGCGCCCUCUGCUCCUUGUGGGUGGGGGAAUCUCGCAGCUCACUGGGCCAGCAUCAGUUUUGGCGGCAGGAUAAAUCUGCAGGAAUGUAGCUUGCCUCGGUAAGUGUUAUAUCCUGUAGAAAUACUGCCAGCUGGGACUGAGGACUGCGACUUUACGUCAAGGAUGCUGGCAUAAUGGUUAUAUGCCGCCCGUCUUGAACCACGGACC
rnacentral:rRNA from 1 species